GCGAACGCUGGCGGCAGGCCUAACACAUGCAAGUCGAGCGGCCGUAGCAAUACGGCAGCGGCAGACGGGAGAGUAACACGUGGGAACGUACCCUUCGGUUCGGAACAACCCAGGGAAACUUGGGCUAAUACCGGAUUCGCCCCCGCGCAAGCGGGGGGAAAGAUUCAUCGCCGAAGGAUCGGCCCGCGUCUGAUUAGCUAGUUGGUGGGGUAACGGCCCACCAAGGCGACGAUCAGUAGCUGGUCUGAGAGGAUGAUCAGCCUCACUGGGACUGAGACACGGCCCAGACUCCUACGGGAGGCAGCAGUGGGGAAUAUUGGACAAUGGGCGCAAGCCUGAUCCAGCCAUGCCGCGUGGGUGAUGAAGGCCCUAGGGUUGUAAAGCCCUUUCGGCGGGGAAGAUAAUGACGGUACCCGCAGAAGAAGCCCCGGCUAACUUCGU
rnacentral:rRNA from 1 species